UACGGGGGGGGUAAGCGUUGUUCGGAAUUACUGGGCGUAAAGGGCUCGUAGGCGGCCAACUAAGUCAGACGUGAAAUCCCUCAGCUUAGCUGGGGAACUGCGUCUGAUACUGGAUGGCUUGGAUUUGGGAGAGGGAUGCGGAAUUCCAGGUGUAGCGGUGAAAUGCGUAGAUAUCUGGAGGAACACCGGUGGCGAAGGCGGCAUCCUGGACCAAUAUUGACGCUGAGGAGCGAAAGCCAGGGGAGCAAACGGG
rnacentral:rRNA from 1 species